UGCAAGUCGAACGGCAGCGCGGGGCAACCUGGCGGCGAGUGGCGAACGGGUGAGUAAUAUAUCGGAACGUACCCAAGAGUGGGGGAUAACGUAGCGAAAGUUACGCUAAUACCGCAUACGAUCCAAGGAUGAAAGCAGGGGACCGCAAGGCCUUGUGCUCCUGGAGCGGCCGAUAUCUGAUUAGCUAGUUGGUAGGGUAAAGGCCUACCAAGGCGACGAUCAGUAGCUGGUCUGAGAGGACGACCAGCCACACUGGAACUGAGACACGGUCCAGACUCCUACGGGAGGCAGCAGUGGGGAAUUUUGGACAAUGGGCGCAAGCCUGAUCCAGCAAUGCCGCGUGAGUGAAGAAGGCCUUCGGGUUGUAAAGCUCUUUUGUCAGGGAAGAAACGGUGGGGGCUAAUAUCCUUUGCUAAGGACGGUACCUGAAGAAUAAGCACCGGCUAACUACGUGCCAGCAGCCGCGGUAAUACGUAGGGUGCAAGCGUUAAUCGGAAUUACUGGGCGUAAAGCGUGCGCAGGCGGUUUUGUAAGUCUGUCGUGAAAGCCCCGGGCUCAACCUGGGAAUUGCGAUGGAGACUGCAAGGCUUGAAUCUGGCAGAGGGGGGUAGAAUUCCACGUGUAGCAGUGAAAUGCGUAGAGAUGUGGAGGAACACCGAUGGCGAAGGCAGCCCCCUGGGUCAAGAUUGACGCUCAUGCA
rnacentral:rRNA from 1 species